UGGACAAGGUGGAUAAUAAUUCAUCCUCAUUGUUUGAACUCCUUCGCCAUAUAACUCUUUGAUUUCUGUGGUGUCAAUUGUUAGAGCAUUGGCCAUAAGAUCAAGUAUCUGGAUUGCAAGGUUUUUCAAUUCUGUAGACAACUCCUAUGAGAGUAAAAACAAAUUUUGUCAGGACAAUGAGCAGGGGAUGUGAGACAGAGAGGAACAGAACCUGAAUGGUAAGGGGAGGCAGGGCAACAAGCAGAGGCGGAGCCACAGGGGUGACUUCCCCCUGCUUAGUCACCCCUGGCUUUUUAGAGUUUGUCCCAUGGUUUUUUAUCCCUUUCUCCUUUGUAUACUCGUUUUUCUUUUUCCUUCUGUUAAGGGUUGGCACUGCCUCUUUUCUCUAUGAAUGGCAAACACACCCUUCAAUCUACCUUUCCCUGUUGUAAUUGCGCUGGUUUUGGGUCCACUGCUAGCACUUUCGUGGAUUAAGCUUGCCUCCUUGGCUGAAUCAUUUAUUGUAGGGUGCUUUUAUUUGUUCCUGCCAGUGUCUUUCUGUUUGAAGGCUGCAAUUUUUCUUCUUUAUGGAAACUAGAAUUGACUAAUUUUGUAAUUCCUCUGUGAAUUGCUUUUGGGACAUCUAUGUUCUUACUUCUUUUUUUC